rnacentral:rRNA from 1 species
UGAUAUGGCUGCACCAUCCUGCAGCCCAAGACCAGUUAAUCACUGAAGCUAAGCAGGGCUGAGCCUGGUCAGUACCUGGAUGGAAGACCACAUGGAAAAACUAGUUUGCUGUUGGAA